rnacentral:pre_miRNA from 1 species
AAUAAGUGUAGUUUUACACUGUUUAUAUUCAAUGUUUGACCGUUCAUCUUAUUUAAAAUUUAUUUUAUUAGUCGUAGUUUUAUUAUUGUUAGAUGAUAAAACAUAAAUAGUACUACUUUAUAUGUGACUUAUUUUAAAAAAAAAUUAUAAAAUUUUUAAAUAAGACAGAUGAUCAAAUAUUAGACACGGAUAUUCACGACUGUAUUUAUU